rnacentral:rRNA from 1 species
GAUUUCCAAAGUAGCGGCGAGCGAAAUGGAAAGAGCCCAAACCGGAGUGCGUGCAUUCCGGGGUUCGGACCGCAUAAUUGAUUCAGCAAUUCCAGCAGAACUGUUUUGGGAAAGCAGACCAGAGAGGGUGAAAGUCCCGUAAGCGAAAGAAGAGCUGACAUGGCGGUAUCCAGAGUACAUCGAGACACGAGAAACCUUGAUGGAAUAAGCGGGGACCACCCCGUAAGGCUAAAUACUACUUAGUGACCGAUAGCGCAUAGUACUGUGAAGGAAAGGUGAAAAGGACCCCGGGAGGGGAGUGAAAGAGAACCUGAAACCCUGUGUUUACAAGCUGUGGAAGCACUUUAUAUGUGCGACCGCGUACUUUUUGUAGAACGGUCCGGCGAGUUACGCUUACUGGCGAGGUUAAGGACUUAAGGUCCGGAGCCGAAGGGAAACCAAGUCUUAACAGGGCGGUUAUAGUCAGUAGGAGUAGACCCGAAACCGGGUGAUCUAUCCAUGUCCAGGUUGAAGAUGCCGUAAAAGGCGUUGGAGGACCGAACCCACAUCCGUUGAAAAGGGUGGGGAUGAGGUGUGGAUAGGGGAGAAAUUCCAAUCGAACCCGGAGAUAGCUGGUUCUCCUCGAAAUAGCUUUAGGGCUAGCCUCGUUUUAGUCUUGUGGAGGUAGAGCACUGAAUUUCCGCGGGGGCGUCAAAGCUUACCAAAGAAUAUCAAACUCCGAAUGCCAUGUAGAUGAUGAAUGGGAGUCAGACUGCACGAGAUAAGUUGGGUGGUCAAAAGGGAAAGAGCCCAGACCUACAGCUAAGGUCCCAAAGUGCGUGUUAAGUGGAAAAGGAUGUGGGAUUUCGAAGACAACUAGGAUGUUGGCUCAGAAGCAGCCAUACAUUCAAAGAGUGCGUAAUAGCUCACUAGUCGAGAGGUCCUGCGCCGAAAAUGUCCGGGGCUGAAACACGACACCGAAGCUUAGGACUCCAUUUAGGAGUGGUAGAGGAGCAUUGUUAGCGCAGCGAAGCUGUACCGAUAAGGAGCAGUGGAGUGCUAAGAAGAGAGAAUGCCGGAAUGAGUAGCGAGAGGAAGGUGAGAAUCCUUCCGGCCGAAUAUCCAAGGUUUCCAGAGUAAAGCUGAUCUGCUCUGGGUAAGUCGGGGCCUAAGGCGAGGUCGAAAGACGUAGUCGAUGGAUAACAGGUGGAGAUUCCUGUACUAUGUGUACCCAGAACUGUGGGGACGCAUGUGGAGAGCACGAGCCGGGAAAGAGAAGACCGGUACAAGCGGGGUAGGAGUAAGGACAGCAAAUCUUCCUUACAAUCCGAAGACGUAAUGUGGACCGAACCAAAGUAGGGAAGCGUGUGAGCCAUGUGCCAAGAAAAGCCGCUAUAGUGAUACACAUACCCGUACCGUAAACCGACACAGGUGGAUGAGGAGAGAAUCCUAAGGCCGACGGAAGAAGCAUUGUUAAGGAACUCGGCAAAAUGACCCCGUAACUUCGGGAGAAGGGGUGCCCACUUCAGGGUGGGCCGCAGAGAAUAGGCUCAAGCAACUGUUUAGCAAAAACACAGGUCUAUGCGAAACCGAAAGGUGAGGUAUAUGGGCUGACGCCUGCCCGGUGCUGGAAGGUUAAGAGGAGAUGUCAGGAAACGAAGCAUUGAAUUUAAGCCCCAGUAAACGGCGGCCGUAACUAUAACGGUCCUAAGGUAGCGAAAUUCCUUGUCGGGUAAGUUCCGACCCGCACGAAAGGCGUAAUGAUUUGAGCACUGUCUCGACAAUGCAUCCGGUGAAAUUGAAGUACCAGUGAAGAUGCUGGUUACCUGCGCCAGGACGGAAAGACCCCAUGGAGCUUUACUCCAGCUUGAUACUGGGAUUCGAUACUGUAUGUACAGGAUAGGUGGGAGACGUUGAGCAUAGAACGCCAGUUUUAUGUGAGUCGCUGUUGGGAUACCACCCUUGCAGUAUUGGAUUUCUAACCUGCACCCAUGACCUGGGUGGGGGACAAUGUCUGGCGGGGAGUUUGACUGGGGCGGUCGCCUCCGAAAGGGUAUCGGAGGCGCUCAAAGGUUCCCUCAGAAUGGUUGGAAACCAUUCGAAGAGUGCAAAGGCAGAAGGGAGCUUGACUGCGACACCGACGGGUGGAGCAGGUACGAAAGUAGGACUUAGUGAUCCGGUGGUAUAAAGUGGGAUUGCCAUCGCUCAACGGAUAAAAGCUACCCUGGGGAUAACAGGCUUAUCACUCCCAAGAGUUCACAUCGACGGAGUGGUUUGGCACCUCGAUGUCGGCUCAUCGCAUCCUGGGGCUGUAGCAGGUCCCAAG